GUCGCCAAAUCCUCUCGCCAUAGAGAUUUACAUGACAUGUUGGGCGGUACGCUGAACACGCGCGUUUUUGGGUCGACUCGGGCUCCAAGUUGGCUCACUUAGAGUCGACUCAACGUAUUUAAAUCAGGCCUACACUGGUAGCACUUCUUGAGUAUCAUCACAUGGAAUGCUAACUUGUUCUCUUUAAUACAGAUCGCCAACGACGGACCUACCUUGUUAUUGGGACGUGAUACAGCCAAAUACACGAGAGGCAUCGGGUCAUAUAAGAGUUACAUUUAAUUCUUCUCAUAAUUAGAUUUCAUGUACGUUUGCCAACUUACCCACCUGUACCCAACCUGUCAUAUGUUAAUUAGGAUCAUCAUUAUCACCUGUGUGUAUUUAUUGAAAGCCACGCGGAUACCGGAUACUCGGACGUUGAUAUGAGAGCUGUUCUCUCUUUGUUACUUCAGUUUCGACCAAAAAGUUGACUAUUUUCACAUGCCAACUAUAUGAAGAUAUUGUCCUUAUAUCUAAGUCCAUUUUCUGUAAAGCCGUUGACUUCUUUAUCGUCCUGCCUGCAACAUGAUGUGCGACCUUGUCCAACCUAGGCUGUUUGUUCAUAGUCUUUUAUCACCUCGACUUGGAGCCCAGGCGAUAAUGGUGAAUAAUUUCUCGGUGCGAGAGUCGAGUUGACCCGAGAAGCAUACAGAUGAGCCUCGGUGAAUAAAGGCACCCGCCAGGAAUCUCUUUCAACAGGAUGGAGAUAACGGUGCCCCUGCCGUUAGCGUCGCUGUGAAAUGUGAACUAAAAGCCGGGGUUGCGCUCAGUCAGUCAGAAGCUCGGCGCGUCUAGGGAAGGCGGCGGCGUACACGUCCGACAAGGCGAGACUCGGUGGUCUUAGGGACCGUGUCGUCGCUCCAGCAGUCUGAAGAUUAUACCGGGAUGUGAAGCUGGGGCUCAUGAAGGAUUCCACAUUUCAAAUACUGGGCGUUGUCUUCAAGUUGUACAUGAAAACCAUUCGUUUUUCAUGAUGGCGUCUCUGAGAGUGAAAGAGAGGAACGCAAUACACCGUGCACCAUGUUGGUAUAGAGUAUGUCGUACGUUGUUCAGUGACUUUUAUUGUAUCCGUGACGAACGAACUCUUGCGACUGUAACACGGGGUUGUAACUACUGGGAAUAACUGCACAGAUGGUCGCUCAACAAACUGCUAGAUUAUACAGGUAAACAGGCUUGCCCCUUUGCGGGUACUUUUGUUCAGACACGUUUGACAUAUUGCUGGUACUGCGCAGGGCGUUCUGCAGGCGAUGUGCCUCCGGGCAUCUGUGCAAGAUGCUGCUCAGGUGCAGCUAAGACCCACUGGCGCCACCGCGCACAUGUACGUUACACAGGAUGUUAGUGUUGUGACUUGUGUAGUUAGGAAACGGUGUGUUGGCUGUUUCCGUGCUGGCGAGUAUUUCGUUACUCCAGUCUGCUUCAUCUACCCGUAGAAUCCCAGUAUACGUUUCAGUUUCAGACACUACUAUGUCAUUGAACACGACUGGACAACGAUUCCGACUACAGUCGAAUUCACAACCUCUUGAUAUGUCACUAAAUUUGUGUUUAAUAUAUAAAAAAGCAGUGCAGUUGUACGUUUGGAAUUGAUAAUUGAAGGUUGUGAUUACAGCUACAGUCAACCUACAAACAAAACAGCGAACGUUAUUGACAAUCAGAUACGUGUAUACACACGCGAAAAAAAAAGAAAUUACAGAAACAACAAAAGCGUAAUAAUGUGAAAACACACUGGGUAUUGACAAUACAUAGCACGAAAAAGUGUAUACGAAAAGUGCGUAGUAUAUACGUGCCUAAGAAAAAGUACAAUUUUAUUCCGUGCUCAGUAACCGUCCAGCUAUCCCGUAUCUCCCUCCCCCCUCUCGGCCAUCCGUAUUUAUUGAUAUGCGCGCUGCCGGAGGCUGGCAUCUCCAUAAUCGCGCACGUAGGACAUUAUGAAGGUUUGUGGUCCGGCCAUCAUUUCAUGACGAUGGUAAUCAAGAUAAGCCCACUGCAGUUCUUUAUUAGUCCCAAUUCUCUGUCCUGGCAGACGGGGAUAGAUGGAUCAUAAAGGUACAGGUCCAUUGCAAGUCAUGUAUGCAAUACUACAGGUCAACCGCUUUGAAGUAUUUCUCAAAGGCACACAGUAUGCAUACAGCAUGCGGAGAGAGAACCAUUAAAGGAUAGAGACUCUUUGUUCAUGAUACUUGGUUUAAAAUGUGUACAAGUCU